CCCGCACAAGCGGUGGAGCAUGUGGUUUAAUUCGACGCUACGCGAAGAACCUUACCUGGGCUUGAACUGCUGGUGGUAGAAGCCCGAAAGGGUAACGACCCGGAGCAAUCCGGGAGCCAGUAGAGGUGCUGCAUGGCUGUCGUCAGCUCGUGUCGUGAGAUGUUGGGUUAAGUCCCGCAACGAGCGCAACCCUUACCCUUAGUUGCCAGCGGGUAAUGCCGGGCACUCUAAGGGGACCGCCCGGAUAACGGGGAGGAAGGCGGGAUGACGUCAAGUCAGCAUGGCCCUUAUGUCCAGGGCUACACACGUGCUACAAUGGGCGAUACAGAGGGAAGCAAGGCCGCAAGGUAGAGCUAAUCCCUAAAGUCGUCCUCAGUUCGGAUUGCAGGCUGCAACUCGCCUGCAUGAAGUCGGAAUCGCUAGUAAUCGCGGAUCAGCUACGCCGCGGUGAAUACGUUCCCGGGCCUU
rnacentral:rRNA from 1 species